GUGGGCCCCUGACUCGGGCUGCUGGGUCACUGGCCAAAAGACCCAGACACAGCCUCUCACCACGGGGGAACGUUCUGCUUUUACGCCCGGGCGGCCACGCUUCGCACACGGCGCCUCUUAGAGGGAAAUUGUGGAGAGCUUCGUGGAUAAUCGACAAUACACGGACGCUGUUUUGUUAAAAAUAUAUUUUUUAAACGGAUUGACGUUGGUCAUGCUAUACAUCACCAUCAAGAAUUGUAGUGAAAUGGCAGUGUUUUGGAAGGUGAAGUCGCCGACAAUGUUUUGGAUGGAUAGCCUGCCACGCUGCCUCUGUGACAGUUAGUUGUGGUCACAGCACCAGAAGAUGAGAGGCUUCAUUGAGUUUUGUGUAAUCUAAAGGCCAUUCAGCCCUGUGACUGAUGAAGUCCCCCUCCUGUGGCAGCCGACAACAGAGCACAAGAGACCCCACAAAAGGCACUUCGGAUAAAACAAAACCUCUCUAAUUGUGCCUUUGAACCGGUCAAUGGACCAGCGGGCCGGUUGGCUGGUGGUCGGUCCCAGGGGUCGGGCUCUCCUCCUUUGCCAUCCCGAUUAGUUGUUGCUGUGAAAAGUGAACAGCCUUGCUGGUGUGAGUGCUAUGGCGCUGCAGUGUCAGACAGACAGAGACAGGGUGGCAGUCUGUUCCUCUCCCGCAGGUCCCACACCGAGCGCUGCUGUGCUCUCUCAAACCACUAGAACGUGCUCUUCAACAGAUUAUCCACACACUCCUCCCUCUCCCAUCUCCCUCUCCUUGAGAGCAGGGCCCUGCUUCUCAUUUGUAAAAGAGGCAGAAAGAAUGCAAUUUAUAACUGUGAAAGCAGUAUAAAGCCAACACCGACGGUACUCCUGAGGUUCUAGCGCCAGAGCCGGUCUGGUAUAAACAUUCAUAGGCUGGGUCCAUCCGGCCAGCACUGGACCCUCUCCUUCGAUCUCCCCAGCAGGACUAAAGCCUUACUGCUAGAUUCCCAUAAGACAGAGCUCUGGAAAAAGAGAGGAUGAUGAUGAUGAUGAUGAUGACACUGAUUUAGAGAGAACAUUUAGAAAAACAUAUGACUGUUAGUGAAGACAUACAGUUUAGAGGUUAACAUACACCUUAGUAAAAUACAUUUAAACUCAAGUCUUUCACAAUUCCUGACAUUUAAUCCUAGUUCAAAUUCCUUGUCUUAGGUCAGUUAGGAUCACCACUUUAUUUUUAGAAUGUGAAAUGUCAGAAUAAUAGUAGAGAUAAUUAUUUAUUUCAGCUUUUAUUUCUUUCAUUACAUUCCCAGUGGGUCAGAAGUUUACAUACACUCAAUUAGUAUUUUGUAGCAUUUCCUUUAAAUUGUUUAACUUGGGUCAAACAUUUUGGGUAGCCUUCCACAAGCUUCCUAUAAUAAGUUGGGUGGAUUUUGUUCCAUUCCUCCUCACAGAGCUGGUGUAACUGAGUCAGGUUUGUAGGCCCUCCUUGCUCGCACACGCUUUUUCAGUUCUGCCCACAAAUGUUCUAUGGGAUUGAGGUCAGGGCUUUGUGAUGGCCAUUCCAAUACCUUGACUUUGUUGUCUUUAAGCCAUUUUGCCACAAUUUUGGAAGUAUGCUUGGUGUCAUUGUCCAUUUGGAAGACCCAUUUGCAACCAAGCUUUAACUUCCUGACUGAUGUCUUGAGAUGUUGCUUCAAUAUAUCCACAUCAUUUUCCUACCUCAUGACGCCAUCUAUUUUGUGAAGUGCACCAGUCCCUCCUGCAGCAAAGCACCCCCACAACAUGAUGCUGCCCCCCCUGUGCUUCACGGUUAGGAUGGUGUUCUUCGGCUUGCAAGCCUCCCCCUUUUCCGCCAAACAUAAUGAUGGUCAUUAUGGCCAAACAGUUCUAUUAAUGUUUCAUCAGACCAGAGGACAUUUCUACAAAAAGUAUGAUCUUUGUCCUCGUGUGCAGUUGCAAACCGUAGUCUGGCUUUUCUAUGGCGGUUUUGGAGCAUUGUCUUCUUCCUUGCUGAGCGGCCUUUCAGGUUAUGUCGAAACAGGACUCGUUUUACUGUGGAUAUAGAUACAUUUGUACCUGUUUCCUCCAGCAUCUUCACAAGGUCCUUUGCUGUUGUUCUGGGAUUUAUUUGCACUUUUCCCACCAAAGUACGUACAUCUCUAGGAGACAUAACGCGUCUCGGUAUGACGGCUGCGUGGUCCCAUGGUGUUUAUACUUGCGUACUAUUGUUUGUACAGAUGAACGUGGUACCUUCAGGCCUUUGGAAAUUGCGCCCAAGGAUGAACCAGACUUUUGGAGGACUGCAAUUUUUUUCUGAGGUCUUAGCUGAUUUCUUUUGAUUUUCCCAUGAUGUCCAGCAAAGAGCCACUCAGUUUGAAGGUAGGCCUUGAAAUACAUCCACAGGUACACCUCCAAUUGACUCAAAUUAUGUCAAUUAGCCUAUCAGAAGCUUCUAAAGCCAUGACAUAAUUUUCUGGAAUUUUCCAAGCUGUUUAAAGGCACUGUCAACUUAGUGUGUGUAAACUUCAAACCCACUGGAAUUGUGAUACAGUGAAUUAUAUGUGAUAUCAUCUGUCUGUAAAGAAUUGUUGGAAAAAUGACUUGUGUCAUACACAAAGUAAUGUCCUAACUGACUUGCCUAAACUAUAGUUUGUUAACAAGACAUUUGUGGAGUGGUCGAAAAAUGAGUUUUAAUGACUCCAACCUAAUUGUAUGUAAACUUCUGAGUUCAACUGUAUUAAGAUUGUUGAAGAUAAAGAUAUUCCUACAACAUAGGGGAAAACACAGAAAUAGUUUUACAUAGUAAUUGUAUUUCUAUGGGGAAAACAAUUGGAAUGACAUCAUCAGACUUAAAAACUGGAGUCCCUUGAAAGAGAGGUGUCGUAUUGCACCCAUAAUCUAUUUUCCCCCACUUCACAUGAGCUUGAAAGGAGCAGGAAGAGCAGAUGACUUUGAUUGACAGGCAGAAGGGGCUGUGGAUGUAUCAGUGUCUGGCUGGAGGGGAGGGAGGGGUAACUUCCCUGACUGACAGGCAGGGGGCGGGGCUCUCCACAUCCAGAUGGAAAGAGGAAGGAACCAGACUGCUCUUUCUCUACAGAUGGCCAUGUUCAAUUAGAACCACUGAACUCCGUUUCUAUUUCAUGCCCUAAAUGACACAACUAGCUUUUCAUCCAUUGAUGUGUUUUUUUCUUUUCUUAUGUAGUUCAAUAUGCUGACAUAUAGGCUAGGUGUUACAUUUAAGUAUAACACAGUAAGGAAUAUACCUACUGAAUUAGAAACAAUUAUUACUAAUGUAUAAGAGAUAUAAAAAAAGCCCUAUCUAAAUGUUCAGUUAAAAUACCAACCAAUGCCAUCCUUCUUUGUUCCAUAUGUCCAUAUGGUGAGGGUGCAGAAAUGACCGGCACAGCCCCCUUUUAGCAGGGUCCUACAUGUAAAUAAUGGAGUGAGAAAGGGAAUUAAAGGGAUAUGCAAGACUGCACCGGAGAUUGAAAGUUGCAGAUGAGGACCAGUCCGAGACACCAACACUGUUCCAGGACCCUAAAAUCUUUGUGCUCCUCAAAAGGACCAAUUUAGAUUGAUCCAUUUAGAUUCAUUAUCUGAGUUCAGCUAGCCAGAUGUGAUUAGGGGCCAGUCCCCAGGGGACAGAGGAUAGGA